rnacentral:rRNA from 1 species
GAUGAACGCUGGCGGCGUGCCUAAUACAUGCAAGUCGAGCGAACAGACGAGGAGCUUGCUCCUCUGACGUUAGCGGCGGACGGGUGAGUAACACGUGGAUAACCUACCUAUAAUACUGGGAUAACUUCGGGAAACCGGAGCUAAUACCGUAUAAGAUAUUGAACCGCAUGGUUCAAUAGUGAAAUACGGUUUUGCUGGCACUUAUAGAUGGAUCCGCGCCGCAUUAGCUAGUUGGUAAGUUAACGGCUUACCACGGCAACGAUGCGUAGCCGACCUGAGAGGCUGAUCGGCCACACUGGAGCUGAGCCACGGUCCAGACUCCUACGGGAGGCAGCAGUAGGGAAUCUUCCGCAAUGGGCGAAAGCUUGACGGAGCAACGCCGCGUGAGUGAUGAAGGUCUUCGGAUCGUAAAACUCUGUUAUUAGGGAAGAACAAAUGUGUAAGUAACUAUGCACGUCUUGACGGUACCUAAUCAGAAAGCCACGGCUAACUACGUG